rnacentral:rRNA from 1 species
UACGUAGGGUGCAAGCGUUGUCCGGAAUUAUUGGGCGUAAAGAGCUCGUAGGCGGUCUGUCGCGUCGGCUGUGAAAACCCGAGGCUCAACCUCGGGCCUGCAGUCGAUACGGGCAAACUAGAGUACUGCAGGGGAGACUGGAAUUCCUGGUGUAGCGGUGAAAUGCGCAGAUAUCAGGAGGAACACCGGUGGCGAAGGCGGGUCUCUGGGCAGUAACUGACGCUGAGGAGCGAAAGCCAGGGGAGCGAACGGG